AUUGGAAAGCAGAGUCGUGAGCAGAGUAUUUUGGGUAGCAUCCCAGCAGAGGUACCACCAACAUCAGACAUCCUCUCCUCCAGGGAAUGGUCUCCUGCAGAAUCUGAAUUCCCCGCAGAGUCUCCCAGUCUGGCCUCUGGGACAGCGACAGUGCUUAAUCGAGGAUGAUCCCUCAGGCUGUCGACACCUCCGGGGCUGUUCAGAUGGGGCGCUUUCCGUGAACAGGCACAAUCCACGAGACUUUAGAAAUGUCCCAUCAGACCUGAAGCCUGUGGGUCCAGAAGACACAUUUGAUCGGAUCCAACCUUUGGAAGAUCUGCUUGGAAAUUUCCCACUUCGUGUCCUGAGUCCAGGAACCCAGCAGUGGAAUUUUGUAGUGAGUGGUCCUUUCUUCCACCUGAGGCUCUAUCCCCUGUAUCCAGUCAUUCUCUCAUUGUUUAAGGGUCUAUUCAAGACAAGUUUAUCAGAGCCAACUGCACAUCAGCUAGUUGGGGAAGCCAGAACGGUGACCAAAGCCAAUGAUAUCUGUACCCUCAUGGAAAUAGCGGUGUCAUGGAGGUCAUGGCAGUGCAGAGGUCCUGAGGCAAGAAAGAGUUUGAUGUGUGAAAAGGGCAUGUCUGGACACAUGGGGAAGAGGUGGAGAGGAGUAACUCUUUCAGGACCUCAGAGGUUGUGUUAA
rnacentral:lncRNA from 1 species